rnacentral:rRNA from 1 species
GAGUUUGAUCAUGGCUCAGAUUGAACGCUGGCGGCAGGCCUAACACAUGCAAGUCGAGCGGUAGAGAGAAGCUUGCUUCUCUUGAGAGCGGCGGACGGGUGAGUAAUGCCUAGGAAUCUGCCUGGUAGUGGGGGAUAACGCUCGGAAACGGACGCUAAUACCGCAUACGUCCUACGGGAGAAAGCAGGGGACCUUCGGGCCUUGCGCUAUCAGAUGAGCCUAGGUCGGAUUAGCUAGUUGGUGAGGUAAUGGCUCACCAAGGCGACGAUCCGUAACUGGCCUGAGAGGAUGAUCAGUCACACUGGAACUGAGACACGGUCCCAGACUCCUACCGGGAGGGCGGCAGUGGGGAAUAUUGGACAAUGGGCGAAAGCCUGAUCCAGCCAUGCCGCGUGUGUGAAGAAGGUCUUCGGAUUGUAAAGCACUUUAAGUUGGGAGGAAGGGCAGUAAAUUAAUACUUUGCUGUUUUGACGUUACCGACAGAAUAAGACACCGGCUAACUCUGUGCCAGCAC